rnacentral:rRNA from 1 species
AUAAUCAUUAGUCUUUUAAUUGAAGGCUUGUAUGAAUGGUUGGACAAAAAGCAAACUGUCUCAGUUGUAAUAAUUGAAUUUAACUUUUGAGUGAAAAGGCUUAAAUAAGUUAGGGGGACGAUAAGACCCUAUAAAGCUUGACAAUAAGCCGUUUAUAUUAUAAAUUGUUAGUAUAACUUGAUUUUAAAUGGUGUUUGUUGCGUUGGGGCGACGAGAAUAUAAAAGAUAACUGUUCUUAUAAUAUUUAAUAACAGAAAUAGCUGGAAAAUUAAUGAUCCUUUCUUUAAGAUCAUAAGAUUAAGUUACUUUAGGGAUAACAGCGUAAUCUUCCUUGAGAGUUCAUAUCGACAGGAAGGGUUGCGACCUCGAUGUUGAAUU